UAAAACUCAAAGGAAUUGACGGGGACCCGCACAAGCGGUGGAUGAUGUGGAUUAAUUCGAUGCAACGCGAAAAACCUUACCUACCCUUGACAUGUCCGGAAUCCUGCAGAGAUGCGGGAGUGCCCGAAAGGGAAUCGGAACACAGGUGCUGCAUGGCUGUCGUCAGCUCGUGUCGUGAGAUGUUGGGUUAAGUCCCGCAACGAGCGCAACCCUUAUCAUUAGUUGCUACGCAAGGGCACUCUAAUGAGACUGCCGGUGACAAACCGGAGGAAGGUGGGGAUGACGUCAAGUCCUCAUGGCCCUUAUGGGUAGGGCUUCACACGUCAUACAAUGGUCGGUACAGAGGGUUGCCAAGCCGCGAGGUGGAGCCAAUCCCAGAAAGCCGAUCGUAGUCCGGAUUGUUCUCUGCAACUCGAGAGCAUGAAGUCGGAAUCGCUAGUAAUCGCGGAUCAGCAUGUCGCGGUGAAUACGUUCCCGGGUCUUGUACACACCGCCCGUCACACCAUGGGAGUGGAAUCUGCCAGAAGUAGGUAGCCUAACCGCAAGGGGGGCGCUUACCACGGUGGGUUUCAUGACUGGGGUGAAGUCGUAACAAGGUAACC
rnacentral:rRNA from 1 species